rnacentral:rRNA from 1 species
GAUGAACGCUGGCGGCGUGCCUAAUACAUGCAAGUCGAGCGAACGGACGAGAAGCUUGCUUCUCUGAUGUUAGCGGCGGACGGGUGAGUAACACGUGGAUAACCUACCUAUAAGACUGGGAUAACUUCGGGAAACCGUAGAUAAUACCGGAUAAUAUUUUGAACCGCAUGGUUCAAAAGUGAAAGACGGUCUUGCUGUCACUUAUAGAUGGAUCCGCGCUGCAUUAGCUAGUUGGUAAGGUAACGGCUUACCAAGGCAACGAUGCAUAGCCGACCUGAGAGGGUGAUCGGCCACACUGGAACUGAGACACGGUCCAGACUCCUACGGGAGGCAGCAGUAGGGAAUCUUCCGCAAUGGGCGAAAGCCUGACGGAGCAACGCCGCGUGAGUGAUGAAGGUCUUCGGAUCGUAAAACUCUGUUAUUAGGGAAGAACAUAUGUGUAAGUAACUGUGCACAUCUUGACGGUACCUAAUCAGAAAGCCACGGCUAACUACGUG